rnacentral:rRNA from 1 species
GGAUCAAUACGUCGGUCUUGCUUCGGUACGUACUGGCGUCAUUGAUUUCUCCCUUCUGACGAACCAUGAUGUCAUUGAUUUGGUGUUAUGGGAAAUCAGGACUGGUUUUACUUUGAAAAAUUAGAGUGUUUAAAGCAGGCUCACGCUUGAAUACAUUAGCAUGGAAUAAUGAAAUAGGACGUUCGAUCCUAUUUUGUUGGUUUUAGGAUCAACGUAAUGAUU